rnacentral:tRNA from 1 species
GUGGUUCAGUGGUAGAAUGCUAGCCUGCAACACGGGCGGACCAGGUUUGAUUCCCGGGAGAAAACA